GCACUGUAUGAAGGGAGAGAAGGUUUAGCACUCCCCUUGACAAGGACGGAACAGGCCCUCGAGCCUUACAACAAGUAUACGGUUAAGGCAUUGCCACCUACUUUGUGGCAUCUAACCACAGUUAAGA